GACGAACGCUGGCGGCGUGCCUAAUACAUGCAAGUAGGACGCAGUUGCGAACGGGUGAGUAACGCGUAGGUAGCUACCUAUUAGCGGGGGAUGACUAUUGGAAACGAUAGCUAAUACCGCAUACUAGUAGAUGGUACUGCGUUGUAUUAGGUAGUAGGUCGGGUAAUGGCCUAUCUAGGCAACGAUACAUAGCCGACCUUGGAGGGAGAUCGGCCACACUGGGAAUGUGACACGGCCCCGAACCCGAAGGGAGGGAGCAGUAGGGAAACUUCGGAAAUGGGGGGAAACCUGACCGAGCAAAGCCGCGUGAGUGAAGAAGGUUUUCGGAUCGUAAAGGUCUGUUGUUAAGGAAGCGGUACUUACCCAGAAAGGGACGGCUAACUACGUGCCAGCAGCCGCGGUAAUUC
rnacentral:rRNA from 1 species